rnacentral:ribozyme from 1 species
AACAAGAGAUGCAUAUUGCCCCUUCUUCUUCCUCUUCCUCUUCUUCUGUUCUUUCUACUACAUCUACUUCUAUCUCUACUUCUAAUAAGAGAGAGAGGGAGAUCUGUGCUGUAUUAAAUGCCAAGGAAGA